rnacentral:lncRNA from 1 species
GUAUGAAGCGUGAGAGAGCAGAGCGGUAUGAAGAGUGAGAGACAAGGGAGGUAUGAAGAGUGAGUGAGAAGAGAGGUAUGAAGGGUGAGUGAGAAGAGAGGUAGGAAGAGUGAGAGAGGAGAGGUAUGAAGAGUGAGAGACAAGGGAGGUAUGAAGAGUGAGUGAGAAGAGAGGUAUGAAGGGUGAGUGAGAAGAGAGGUAGGAAGAGUGAGAGAGGAGAGGUAUGAAGAGUGAGUGAGAAGAGAGGUAUGAAGAGUGAGUGAGAAGAGAGGUAUGAAGCGUGAGAGAGCAGAGCGGUAUGAAGAGUGAGAGACAAGGGAGGUAUGAAGAGUGAGUGAGCAGAGAGGUAUGAAGGGUGAGUGAGAAGAGAGGUAGGAAGAGUGAGAGAGGAGAGGUAUGAAGAGUGAGAGACAAGGGAGGUAUGAAGAGUGAGUGAGAAGAGAGGUAUGAAGCGUGAGAGAGCAGAGCGGUAUGAAGAGUGAGAGACAAGGGAGGUAUGAAGAGGUGAGUGAGUGAGUGAGUGAGUGAGUGAGUGAGUGAGUGAGUGAGUGAGUGAGUGAGUGAGUGAGUGAGUGAGUAUGGUAUGAAGAGUGAGUGAGUGAGAAGAGAGGUAUGAAGAGUGAGAGACAAGGGAGGUAUGAAGAGUGAGAGACAAGGGAGGUAUGAAGAGUGCGACAAGGGAGGUAUGAAGAGUGAGAGACAACAACAAAAACUCUGUGUGAUUGCCCAUUGUGACCUGGACUGUCGGACUACACCCCCUGUGUACCAGACCGGAUUGGCUGAGGACCCGAGUGUGAG